rnacentral:rRNA from 1 species
UGCCAGCCGCCGCGGUAAUACGGAGGAUCCUAGCGUUAUCCGGAUUCAUUGGGUUUAAAGGGUGCGCAGGCGGAAUGGUAAGUCAGUGGUGAAAUCCUGCAGCUUAACUGCAGAACUGCCAUUGAUACUGUCAUUCUUGAGUAUACUUGAAGUGGGCGGAAUGUGUCGUGUAGCGGUGAAAUGCUUAGAUAUGACACAGAACACCGAUUGCGAAGGCAGCUCACUAAGUUAUAACUGACGCUCAUGCACGAAAGCGUGGGGAUCAAACAGGAUUAGAUACCCUGGUAGUCCACGCCGUAAACGAUGAUUACUCGAUGUUGGCGAUAUACAGUCAGCGUCUAAGCGAAAGCAAUAAGUAAUCCACCUGGGGAGUACGAUCGCAAGGUUGAAACUCAAAGAAAUUGGCGG